rnacentral:tRNA from 1 species
GGGGCUGUCUGCUAGUCUGGUCUAGACAUUAUGGGAUUAGCUUCGUGGCUUGGGACCACGAGAUCGCCGGUUCAAAUCCGGCCGGCCCCACCA